rnacentral:rRNA from 1 species
CCUACGGGAGGCAGCAGUGGGGAAUUUUCCGCAAUGGGCGAAAGCCUGACGGAGCAAUACAGCGUGAGGGAAGACUGCCUAUGGGUUGUAAACCUCUUUUUUCAGGGAGGAAUAAAAUGACGUGUACCUGAAGAAUAAGCAUCGGCUAACUCCGUGCCAGCAGCCGCGGUAAGACGGAGGAUGCAAGUGUUAUCCGGAAUCACUGGGCGUAAAGCGUCUGUAGGUGGUUUAAUAAGUCAACUGUUAAAUCUUGAGGCUCAACUUCAAAAUCGCAGUCGAAACUAUUAGACUAGAGUAUAGUAGAGGUAAAGAGAAUUUCCAGUGGAGCGGUGAAAUGCGUAGAUAUUGGAAAGAACACCGAUGGCGAAAGCACUUUACUGGGCUAUUACUAACACUCAGAGACGAAAGCUAGGGUAGCAAAUGGGAUUAGAUACCCCAGUAGUCCUAGCCGUAAACUAUGGAUACUAGAUGUUGAACAGAUCGACCUGUGCAGUAUCAAAGCUAGCGCGUUAAGUAUCCCGCCUGGGAAGUAUGCUCGCAAGAGUGAAACUCAAAUGAAUUGACGGA